rnacentral:rRNA from 1 species
GACGAACGCUGGCGGCGCGCCUAACACAUGCAAGUCGAACGAGCGAGAGAGAGCUUGCUUUCUCAAGCGAGUGGCGAACGGGUAAGUAACGCGUGAGGAACCUGCCUCAAAGAGGGGGACAACAGUUGGAAACGACUGCUAAUACCGCAUAAGCCCACGGCUCGGCAUCGAGCAGAGGGAAAAGGAGCAAUCCGCUUUGAGAUGGCCUCGCGUCCGAUUAGCUAGUUGGUGAGGUAACGGCCCACCAAGGCGACGAUCGGUAGCCGGACUGAGAGGUUGAACGGCCACAUUGGGACUGAGACACGGCCCAGACUCCUACGGGAGGCAGCAGUGGGGAAUAUUGCACAAUGGGGGAAACCCUGAUGCAGCGACGCCGCGUGGAGGAAGAAGGUCUUCGGAUUGUAAACUCCUGUUGUUGGGGAAGAUAAUGACGGUACCCAACAAGGAAGUGACGGCUAACUACGUGCCAGCAGCCGCGGUAAAACGUAGGUCACAAGCGUUGUCCGGAAUUACUGGGUGUAAAGGGAGCGCAGGCGGGAAGACAAGUUGGAAGUGAAAUCUAUGGGCUCAACCCAUAAACUGCUUUCAAAACUGUUUUUCUUGAGUAGUGCAGAGGUAGGCGGAAUUCCCGGUGUAGCGGUGGAAUGCGUAGAUAUCGGGAGGAACACCAGUGGCGAAGGCGGCCUACUGGGCACCAACUGACGCUGAGGCUCGAAAGUGUGGGUAGCAAACAGGAUUAGAUACCCUGGUAGUCCACACCGUAAACGAUGAUUACUAGGUGUUGGGGGAUUGACCCCUUCAGUGCCGCAGUUAACACAAUAAGUAAUCCACCUGGGGAGUACGACCGCAAGGUUGAAACUCAAAGGAAUUGACGGGGGCCCGCACAAGCAGUGGAGUAUGUGGUUUAAUUCGACGCAACGCGAAGAACCUUACCAAGUCUUGACAUCCCUUGACGAUGCUGGAAACAGUAUUUCUCUUCGGAGCAAGGAGACAGGUGGUGCAUGGUUGUCGUCAGCUCGUGUCGUGAGAUGUUGGGUUAAGUCCCGCAACGAGCGCAACCCUUAUGGUCAGUUACUACGCAAGAGGACUCUGGCCAGACUGCCGUUGACAAAACGGAGGAAGGUGGGGAUGACGUCAAAUCAUCAUGCCCUUUAUGACUUGGGCUACACACGUACUACAAUGGCGUUAAACAAAGAGAAGCAAGACCGCGAGGUGGAGCAAAACUCAGAAACAACGUCCCAGUUCGGACUGCAGGCUGCAACUCGCCUGCACGAAGUCGGAAUUGCUAGUAAUCGUGGAUCAGCAUGCCACGGUGAAUACGUUCCCGGGCCUU